CCUGCUCAGCUGCUGGGGCUGCUGAUGCUCUGCCUGCCUGGAUCCUCGGGAGAUGUUCUGAUGACCCAGACCCCACACUCUUUGUCCGUCUCCCUAGGAGAGCCGGCCACUAUCUCCUGCAGGUCCAGUCAGAGCCUCCUGUAUAGUAAUGGAUUAACAUAUUUUAAUUGGCUUGUGCAGAAGCCAGGCCAGGUUCCAAGGCUCAUCAUUUAUGAGGUUUCCAAAAGAGACUCUUGGGUCUCUGACAGGUUCAGUGGCAGUGGGUCAUGGACAGAUUUCACACUCAAAAUCAGCAGGGUGGAGGCUGAGAAUGCUGGGGUUUAUUACUGUCAGCAAGGUACACAUGUUCCUCCCACAGUGCUACAGCCCCGGACACAAACCUCCCUGCCUGGGGAGGCCCAGCUGCCCUUCUGCACUGCCGCUGGUGAGCAGCACAGCACAGACUUCUCUGUGUGAGAGGAAGGGGCUGAAGAAUCAGAACAACAAGUUGCAACUGAGGCCUCUGCCCUGGAGGAAGAUUGAGGAAGACAACAGUGUAACAAGAAUAUGUUCUUUGCUGAGGGAUCUGACACAGAGGGAGAAGGAUGCAACUGAGCACUACAGUUUCUUUAGGCCUUUAAAAUUCUGUUCCUUUGUGAAAAUUAAUAAAACCAAAAGAAACACAUAAACAUGAAUUUAGCCAAAAAUUAUUAAUAAAAUGGAAAUGGCUU